rnacentral:rRNA from 1 species
UAUAGAGGGGGCAAGCGUUAUUCGGAAUUAUUGGGCGUAAAGGGCGCGUAGGCGGCCUGGCAAGUGGAAGGUGAAAUCCCUCGGCUUAACCGAGGAACUGCCCUCCAAACUGCUUGGCUUGAGUCCGGGAGAGGUGAGUGGAAUUCCCAGUGUAGCGGUGAAAUGCGUAGAUAUUGGGAGGAACACCGGUGGCGAAGGCGGGUCUCUGGGCCGUAACUGACGCUGAGGAGCGAAAGCAUGGGGAGCGAACAGG